GUAGUUGGCGGGGUAAUGGCCCGCCAAGCCGACGACGGGUAGGGGCCGUGGGAGCGGGAGCCCCCAGAUGGGCCCUGAGACAAGGGCCCAGGCCCUACGGGGUGCAGCAGGCGCGAAAACUCCGCAAUGCGGGAAACCGUGACGGGGCCACCCCGAGUGCCGCCCGAAGAGGGCGGCUUUUGCCCGGUGCAAAAAGCCGGGCGAAUAAGCGGGGGGCAAGUCUGGUGUCAGCCGCCGCGGUAAUACCAGCUCCGCGAGUGGUCGGGGUGCUUACUGGGCCUAAAGCGCCCGUAGCCGGCCCGGUAAGACGUCCCUGAAAUCCACGGGCUCAACCCGUGGGCUGGGGACGAUACUGCCGGGCUUGGGGGCGGGAGAGGCCGAGGGUACUCCCGGGGUAGGGGCGAAAUCCGAUAAUCCCGGGAGGACCACCAGUGGCGAAGGCGCUCGGCUGGAACGCGCCCGACGGUGAGGGGCGAAAGCUGGGGGAGCAAAGGGGAUUAGAUACCCCUGUAGUCCCAGCUGUAAACGAUGCGGGCUAGCUGUUGGGCGGGCUUAGAGCCCGCCCAGUGGCGGAGGGAAGCCGUUAAGCCCGCCGCCUGGGGAGUACGGCCGCAAGGCUGAAACUUAAAGGAAUUGGCGGGGGGGCACACAAGGGGAGGAGCCUGCGGCUCAAUUGGAGUCAACGCCGGGAACCUCUACCGGGGGCGACAGCAGGAUGACGGCCAGGCUAACGACCUUGCCCGACGCGCUGAGGGGAGGUGCAUGGCCGUCGCCAGCUCGUGCUGUGAAGUGUCCUGUUAAGUCAGGCAACGAGCGAGACCCCCGCCCCUAGUUGCGACCCU
rnacentral:rRNA from 1 species